AUUGAACGCUGGCGGCAUGCUUUACACAUGCAAGUCGAACGGUAACAGGCCGCUAGGUGCUGACGAGUGGCGCACGGGUGAGUAAUGCAUCGGAACGUGCCCCGUCGUGGGGGAUAACUACUCGAAAGAGUAGCUCAUACCGCAUACGAUCUAUGGAUGAAAGCGGGGGACCGUAUGGCCCCGCGCGAUUGGAGCAGCCGAUGUCAGAUUAGGUAGUUGGUGGGGUAAAGGCUCACCAAGCCAACGAUCUGUAGCUGGUCUGAGAGGACGACCAGCCACACUGGGACUGAGACACGGUCCAGACUCCUACGGGAGGCAGCAGUGGGGAAUAUUGGACAAUGGGCGCAAGCCUGAUCCAGCAAUGCCGCGUGCAGGAAGAAGGCCUUCGGAUUGUAAACUGCUUUUGUACGGAACGAAACGGCUCUGGUUAAUACCCGGGGGUAAUGACGGUACCGUAAGAAUAAGCACCGGCUAACUACGUG
rnacentral:rRNA from 1 species